ACACUUACCUAGCAAGGGAAAUACCAUGAUGAUGCUGAUGGUUUCCCCAAGGCUAAGCUUGUCCAUUGAACUCCAGAUGUACUGAUUCCUGUGAUUUCCUCAAACAUGAGAAACCCCACUGCAUAAUUUGUGAAAAUGGGGAGAUGCUUUUGCCCUCCUCCUUA
ensembl:snRNA U1 U1 spliceosomal RNA